AAAGAAGGGACAACAGUUCACUUGUCAACUGGCCGGUACAAGGGUCGAGCGGCAAUUUAUAAAGCUUCGAUUUUGAAAGUUUGUGGAUGGCUCGUCGCUGGCUGCCAGUCAACAGGCCUACCAUCCUGAUGAAUUCUGUAAGUCGGAUACACUGAAAAUUGACAUGCAGUAUUAUCUGGCAAUUCAAGCUCAUCCUGUGUUAUCUCCUCUGUGUGAUCCUAUCGACAGUACAGACACCACUCACAUCACAGAGUGUCUCAGUA